rnacentral:rRNA from 1 species
UACGUAGGGUGCGAGCGUUGUCCGGAAUUACUGGGCGUAAAGAGUGUGUAGGCGGUGCUCUAAGUUCGGUGUGAAAUCUCCCGGCUUAACUGGGAGGGUGCGCCGGAAACUGGAGUGCUCGAGCGUGGGAGAGGAAAGCGGAAUUCCUGGUGUAGCGGUGAAAUGCGUAGAUAUCAGGAGGAACACCUGCGGUGUAGACGGCUUUCUGGACCAUUGCUGACGCUGAGGCGCGAAAGCCAGGGGAGCAAACGGG